rnacentral:misc_RNA from 1 species
CAACCCUCAAGCUCUGCUUGGUGUUGGAUGCCACUUUUCUGGUGCAUCUCAAAAGUAUUGGCAGCAGCAUUCAGCUUCUAGUGUAGUAAAUUCCUCAUUAUGGAGUUUUGGGUGUGGGUUGCUGGAGCCCUUUUUCUAAAA